GAUGAAGAACGCAGCGAAAUGCGAUAAGUAAUGUGAAUUGCAGAAUUCCGUGAAUCAUCGAAUCUUUGAACGCACAUUGCGCCCCCUGGUAUUCCGGGGGGCAUGCCUGUCCGAGCGUCAUUGCUGCCCAUCAAGCACGGCUUGUGUGUUGGGUCGUCGUCCCCCCCUCCGGGGGGGGACGGGCCCUAAAGGCAGCGGCGGCACCGCGUCCGAUCCUCGAGCGUAUGGGGCUUUGUCACCCGCUCUGUAGGCCCGGCCGGCGCUUGCCGAACGCAAAACAACCAUUCUUUCCAGGUUGACCUCGGAUCAGGUAGGGAUACCCGCUGAACUUAAGCAUAUCAAUAAGCGGAGGA
rnacentral:misc_RNA from 1 species